rnacentral:pre_miRNA from 2 species
GUUGAGGGGAAUGUCGUCUGGCGCGAGACCGGCCGGACAGCCGCAGGCGGCGCGGGCCGUCGCCUUGGACGGUCUCGGACCAGGCUUCAUUCCCCCCAAC